rnacentral:rRNA from 1 species
AUGACAAACGUAAGCCUCUACCGCUGCUUGCCACGUGCCAUCUGGGACCACCCACCGCUUUGCUCUAGCCGGUCUUAUCUCUUCGCGUCCUUUGUCCUCCUCACGUCUUGGCUGCUCGUCUUUUUUCCCUCCUCAUCUCUGCUCAUCCCAAUCGAAGGAGAAAAAGCUCCCAUGGCACGCCGGUCAUCCCGCCCCGCUGCAGCGAACCAGGGGGAGCGACGGAGCCCACCACCUGCUACAUCCCCGCCGCAAACGGUGGGUGCUGAAGCCACGAGCGCCACCACGGCGGUGCUGCAACCCAGCGGAGGCGACACAACACGCGGGAGGAGGCGCCUGCUUGUCGUUGCUGCCGGCGAUGCGAUACCGCGCUCGACCACGACCACCGGUGCUGUGGCGCGGCGCUCGCCCACGCCCGUCGUGCUACGAUGCACCUCGUCAUGGUUGCUCUUGCUGCAAUGCAAUGCGACUCGUCCAUGA